rnacentral:rRNA from 1 species
CCUACGGGUGGCAGCAGUUCAGAAUCUUGCACAAUGGGCGAAAGCCUGAUGCAGCGAUGCCGCGUGGGUGAAGAAGGCUCUCGGGUCGUAAAGCCCUGUCAGGGGGAAAGAACAAUGACGGUACCCCCUAAGGAAGCCACGGCUAAUUACGUGCCAGCAGCCGCGGUAAUACGUAAGUGGCGAGCGUUAUCCGGAAUCACUGGGCGUAAAGGGUGCGUAGGCGGUGUGGCAAGUUGGAUUUGAAAGCCCGGGGCUCAACUCCGGACCCGGAUCCAAAACUACCAUACUCGAGCAGAUCAGAGGACAGCGGAAUUCCCGGUGUAGCGGUAAUAUGCGAAGAUAUCGGGAGGAACACCAGUGGCGUAGGCGGCUGUCUGGGGUCUUGCUGACGCUGAGGCACGAAAGCCAGGGGAGCGAACGGGAUUAGAUACCCGAGUAGUC